rnacentral:misc_RNA from 1 species
GUGCACUCAACUGCCUGGGGAGACAAUAUUUGUUCCAAGUGGAUGGUGGCAUUGCGUGCUAAAUUUAGAGACUACUGUUGCUGUGACACAGAAUUUUGUGAACUCCAAGAACUUUGAAUUUGUGUGUCUGGAUAUGGCUCCUGGUUAUAGACAUAAAGGAGUAGUCCGUGCCGGGCUUCUUGCUUUAGAUGACAUCAGCAUUGAGGAUGUCAGGAAAAAUAUGUUGUCCUUAGAAAGUGGUUUGAGCUACUCUGACCUGUCAAGGAAAGAUAAGAGGAUCAGAGUUGACCAGCCUAGAAGUUCAGAAGAUGGAAGUACUAUAGAUUGGGUCUCUAAAGGCAUAAAUUCGACAGAGGUGGAAUUUUCUUAUGACAUAAAUUUCCUAGCUAUGUUUUUGGAUAAAGAGCAAGAUCACUACACUUCGUUAUGGAGCUCAAGCAACUCCAUAGGGCAGCGAGAAAUGAGAGAGUGGUUAUCAAAGCUCUGGGUUGAAAAACCAGAGACUAGAGACCUUAUAUGGAAGGGAGCCUGUCUGGCGCUGAAUGCUGAUAGAUGGUAUGCACGCGCGACGGAAAUUUGUACCUUCCAUGGGUUGCCGUUGCCUACAGAUGAUGAGAGGCUUCCUGUUGGAACAGGCAGCAAUCCGGUUUAUCUAGUUGGGGACAAUGUUAUAAAAAUACUUGUUGAAGAGGGAUUAGAAGUUUGUCUUCAUUCUUUGGGCACUGAGCUCGAGUUUUACAGUUCACUCCAGAAAAUGAACUCCCCUUUGAGGAAUCACAUUCCUAAUGUUUUAUCCAGUGGGAUUCUCUAUAUUGAAAAUGGCUUGUGUAAGGUUCAGUGUUGGGAUGGCAAAGGAA